GAUGAACGCUGGCGGCGUGCCUAAUACAUGCAAGUCGAGCGAACAGACGAGGAGCUUGCUCCUCUGACGUUAGCGGCGGACGGGUGAGUAACACGUGGAUAACCUACCUAUAAGACUGGGAUAACUUCGGGAAACCGGAGCUAAUACCGGAUAAUAUAUUGAACCGCAUGGUUCAAUAGUGAAAGACGGUUUUGCUGUCACUUAUAGAUGGAUCCGCGCCGCAUUAGCUAGUUGGUAAGGUAACGGCUUACCAAGGCGACGAUGCGUAGCCGACCUGAGAGGGGGGACGGCCAAACUGGAACUGGAGCACGGUCCAGACUCCUAAGGGAAGCAGCAGGAGGGAAUCUUCCGCAAUGGGCGGAAGCCUGACGGGGCAACGCCGCGGUAGUGGUGAAGGUCUUCGGAACGGAAAACUCUGUUAUUAGGGAAGAACAAAUUUGUAAGUAACUAUGCACGUCUUGGCGGGACCUAAUCAGAAAGCCACGGGUAACUACGGG
rnacentral:rRNA from 1 species